GGAUCAUUCUCAGUAAUGCAGUAACACUGAUGUGGUGGUGGUGUGUUGCGCUGGUCUGAGUGGAUCAGACACAGCAGUGCUGCUGAAGUUUGUACACAUGUCCCAGUAAUGAUGUGUAAUUGAUAAACUCCAGAAUCUUCUCUGCUGAUGUUUGUGAUGGUUAAACAUCCACUGGUUCUGUUCAGCUGCUGUAAUAGUCUGUAAUAGUCUCUCCUCUAAUGAUCAGGCUGUUCACUAUCUUUAUAUCUGCAUUCUCAGAUCUAUAGAACCACAGUAUGUGAGCAUCACUCUGAGCUCCAGUUAAUCCAGUAUGGAUGGUUACAGUGUUUCCCUCCAGCUCCUGCAGUCUGACAACCUCUUCUCCAGCUGUGAGCACCAGACCUGAGACACAAGAGGCCCGGGGGGGUGGCCCGGGUUAUUUCCCCCCCUUCUCGGGUAUCGCCCUCCGGCCUUCCUCCGCUGCCAGUGCACCUCCAGGCUCCAUCCAGGACAUCCUUGGAAGGUGACUUCAACUGACAACGGCAACUGUGACGUGGAGUUCCUGAUCGGGAUUUGAACCGAUAACCCCCCCACCACGGGGCAUGGCAUCUACCAGCGAGCCACAGGAUCUCACAAGGCUUUCUUAUUUUUUUUCGACAUUUAUCUCUCAGAUUUCCAACUUGCUGUGUGAAAAGCAGUAGCUUGAGCAAGAUUUGAACCCACAACCUUUUGAGUGCAACUACAUUGCUUUUCUUAGUGAGCCACCGUGGCUCAGGUCCAGCACCUUUUUUUUUGGACAUUUGAUUGAUGAUAAUAAGGAUGCCUGAACAUGAGUUUAAUAGUGAAGAUAUGUGCAUAAGCUACUAUGGCUUGUUUACAGUGAUCUUUUUUGUUUGGAUAUUUGACUUUGAGAUUCCCAAGCUUUCUACUGUUUCUACUGAUGCUUCUAAGACUCUUAGACCAGGAUCAUUAGAGGAAGAGGAAGACUGACUGUUCAGACCUGAAUAAACGGCAGUCUAAAUAAUACAGUC